UGGGGAAUUUUCCGCAAUGGGCGCAAGCCUGACGGAGCAAUACCGCGUGAGGGAAGAAGGUUCUUGGAUUGUAAACCUCUUUUCUCAAGGAAGAAAAAAAUGACGGUACUUGAGGAAUCAGCAUCGGCUAACUCCGUGCCAGCAGCCGCGGUAAUACGGAGGAUGCAAGCGUUAUCCGGAAUUAUUGGGCGUAAAGCGUCCGCAGGUGGCAUUUCAAGUCUGCUGUCAAAGACUAGAGCUUAACUCUGGGCAGGCAGUGGAAACUGGAAAGCUAGAGUCCGGUAGGGGUAGAAGGAAUUCCCAGUGUAGCGGUGAAAUGCGUAGAGAUUGGGAAGAACACCAGUGGCGAAAGCGUUCUACUGGACCGGAACUGACACUCAGGGACGAAAGCUAGGGUAGCGAAAG
rnacentral:rRNA from 1 species